CCUAACACAUGCAAGUCGAACGGUAACAGGAAGGAGCUUGCUUCUUUGCUGACGAGUGGCGGACGGGUGAGUAAUGUCUGGGAAACUGCCUGAUGGAGGGGGAUAACUACUGGAAACGGUAGCUAAUACCGCAUAACGUCGCAAGACCAAAGAGGGGGACCUUCGGGCCUCUUGCCAUCGGAUGUGCCCAGAUGGGAUUAGCUAGUAGGUGGGGUAACGGCUCACCUAGGCGACGAUCCCUAGCUGGUCUGAGAGGAUGACCAGCCACACUGGAACUGAGACACGGUCCAGACUCCUACGGGAGGCAGCAGUGGGGAAUAUUGCACAAUGGGCGCAAGCCUGAUGCAGCCAUGCCGCGUGUAUGAAGAAGGCCU
rnacentral:rRNA from 1 species